CAGCAGCCGCGGUAAAACGUAGGUGGCAAGCGUUGUCCGGAAUUAUUGGGCGUAAAGGGCUCGCAGGCGGUUUCUUAAGUCUGAUGUGAAAGCCCCCGGCUCAACCGGGGAGGGUCAUUGGAAACUGGGAAACUUGAGUGCAGAAGAGGAGAGUGGAAUUCCACGUGUAGCGGUGAAAUGCGUAGAGAUGUGGAGGAACACCAGUGGCGAAGGCGACUCUCUGGUCUGUAACUGACGCUGAGGAGCGAAAGCGCGGGGAGCGAACAGGAUUAGAUACCCGCGUAGUCCCUGUCUCUUAUAC
rnacentral:rRNA from 1 species